GACGAACGCUGGCGGCGUGCUUAACACAUGCAAGUCGAACGGAAAGGCCCUGCUUGCCGGGUGCUCGCGUGGCGAACGGGUGAGUAACACGUGGGUGAUCUGCCCCUUACUUUGGGAUAAGCCUGGGAAACUGGGUCUAAUACUGGAUAGGACCAUGCUGUAGGUGGUGUGGUGGAUAGAUUAGUUUCGGUAAGGGAUGAGCUCGCGGCCUAUCAGCUUGUUGGUGGGGUAAUGGCCUACCAAGGCGUUGACGGGUGGCCGGCCUGAGAGGGUGGACGGCCACAUUGAGACUGAGACGCGGGCCAGACUCCUACGGGAGGCAGCAGUGGGGAAUAUUGCACAAUAGGCGCAAGCCUGAUGCAGCGACGCCGCGUGGGGGAUGACGGCCUUCGGGUUGUAAACUCCUUUCAGCCAUGACGAAGCCCUUGUGGUGACGGUAGUGGUAGAAGAAGCACCGGCUAACUACGUG
rnacentral:rRNA from 1 species